rfam:Halothece sp. PCC 7418, complete genome.
GGUCAAGCUACAAAGAGCUAACGGAAGAGCCCUCGGCACACAGAGGCGAAGAAGGACGUGGUAACCGACGAAACGCUGCGGGGAGCUGGAAACAAGCAUUGAGCCGUAGGUAUCCGAAUGGGGAAACCCCAAGCACGACCCACUGAAUCAAUAGGUGGGAACGAGCGAACGCGGUGAACUGAAACAUCUCAGUAGCCGUAGGAAAAGAAAACAAAAGUGAUUCUCCCAGUAGCGGCGAGCGAAAGGGGAAGAGCCUAAACCAGUCCCUGCGGGGAUUGGGGUUGUGGGACAGCAAAACCCGACUCAAAGCGUUAAACGAAGCAACUGAAAACUGCACCAGAGAAGGUAAAAGUCCUGUAGUUGACAACGCAGAGAGCGGAGCUGAAUCCCGAGUAGCUCGGGGCACGUGGAAUCCCCGAGUGAAUCAGCCAGGACCACCUGGUAAGGCUAAAUACUCCUGUGUGACCGAUAGCGAACCAGUACCGCGAGGGAAAGGUGAAAAGAACCCCGGCGAGGGGAGUGAAAAAGAACGUGAAACCGUUAGCUUACAAGCAGUGGGAGGACGAUUCAACGUCUGACCGCGUGCCUGUUGAAGAAUGAGCCGGCGAGUAAUUAGACUGUGGCCGGUUAAGCUGUCUUAGCAGCGAAGCCCAAGCGAAAGCGAGUCCGAACAGGGCGCUAGUCACAGGUAAUUGACCCGAACCCGGGUGAACUAACCAUGGCCAGGAGGAAGCUUGGGUAGUACCAAGUGGAAGUCCGAACCGACCAACGUUGAAAAGUUGGCGGAUGAGCUGUGGUUAGCGGUGAAAUGCCAAUCGAACUCGGAGCUAUCUGGUUCUCCCCGAAAUGCGUUUAGGCGCAGCAGCGAGGAUAAGCCACUGGGGGUAAAGCACUGUUUCGCUGCGGGCUGCGAAAGCGGUACCAAAGCGAGACAAACUCAGAAUACCAGUGGGGAACUCGCCAGUGAGACGGUGGGGGAUAAGCUUCAUCGUCAAGAGGGAAACAGCCCAGACCACCAGCUAAGGUCCCGAAAUGAUGACUCAGUGAGAAAGGAGGUAGGAACGCCGAGACAACCAGGAGGUUUGCCUAGAAGCAGCCACCCUUAAAAGAGUGCGUAAUAGCUCACUGGUCAAGCGUUCCCGCGCCGAAAAUGAACGGGGCUAAGUCAUCUACCGAAGCUGUGGACAGUAUUGGACUGUGGUAGGGGAGCGUUCUAUCAAGGGAGAAGCACUAGCGGUAAGCAGGUGUGGACGAGAUAGAAGUGAGAAUGUCGGCUUGAGUAGCGAAAACUUUGGUAAGAAUCCAAAGCCCCGAAACCCUAAGGGUUCCUCCGGAAGGCUCGUCCGCGGAGGGUUAGUCGGGACCUAAGGCGAGGCCGAUUGGCGUAGUCGAUGGACAUUGGGUCAACAAUCCCAAACUACUGAGUGGGAGCAACGUCGGGACGCAUGAGGAUAGGUGAUGCCCUGAAUGGAUUGGGAGGGAGUUACGACUCCCGUAUCACUGAAAGUAGUGCCAAGAAAAGCGAUUGUUGUGAAGAAAGCCAGUACCCGUACCCGAAACCGACACAGGUAGGGAGGUUGAGAAUACCAAGGGGCGCGAGAAAACUCUCUCUAAGGAACUCGGCAAAAUCACCCCGUAACUUCGGGAGAAGGGGUACCAGCGAGAGCUGGUCGCAGUGACCAGGCCCAGGCGACUGUUUACCAAAAACACAGGUCUCUGCCAACUCGAAAGAGGAAGUAUAGGGGCUGACGCCUGCCCAGUGCUGGAAGGUUAAGGAAGUGGGUUAGCCCUGCGGGGCGAAGCUAGCGACCGAAGCCCCAGUGAACGGCGGCCGUAACUAUAACGGUCCUAAGGUAGCGAAAUUCCUUGUCGGGUAAGUUCCGACCCGCACGAAAGGCGUAACGAUCUGGGCGCUGUCUCGGAGAGAGACUCGGCGAAAUAGGACUGUCUGUGAAGAUACGGACUACCUACACCAGGACAGAAAGACCCCAUGAAGCUUUACUGUAACCUGAAGUGGGGUUCGGGCUGAGCUUGCGCAGGAUAGGUGGGAGGCGAAGAAGGUUUCCUCGUGGGGAAACCAGAGCCAUCGGUGAGAUACCACUCUGGUUCAGCUAGAAUUCUAACCUUAACCCGUGAACCGGGGAAGGGACAGCUGCAGGCGGGCAGUUUGACUGGGGCGGUCGCCUCCAAAAAGGUAACGGAGGCGCGCCAAGGUUCCCUCAGGCUGGUUGGAAAUCAGCCGUAGAGUGCAAAGGCAGAAGGGAGCUUGACUGCAAGAGUGACAACUCGAGCAGGGACGAAAGUCGGCCUUAGUGAUCCGACGGCCCUGAGUGGAAAGGCCGUCGCUCAACGGAUAAAAGUUACUCUGGGGAUAACAGGCUGAUCUCCCCCAAGAGUUCACAUCGACGGGGAGGUUUGGCACCUCGAUGUCGGCUCAUCGCAACCUGGGGCUGAAGUCGGUCCCAAGGGUUGGGCUGUUCGCCCAUUAAAGCGGUACGCGAGCUGGGUUCAGAACGUCGUGAGACAGUUCGGUCCAUAUCCGGUGUAGGCGCAAGAGCAUUGAGAGGAGCCUUCCUUAGUACGAGAGGACCGGGAAGGACGCACCGCUGGUGUACCUGUUAUCGUGCCCACGGUAAACGCAGGGUAGCCAAGUGCGGAGUGGAUAACCGCUGAAAGCAUCUAAGUGGGAAGCCCACCUUAAGAUGAGUGCUCUCAUUCUGGUAAGGAAGUAAGGUCACAGGAAGAACACCUGUUUGCUCGGCGCUAGGUGGAAGUCUGGCAACAGAUGAAGCCGAGGCGUGCGAACCGACCGAGGGCUUGACCUC